AAAAUAUAAGGAAAUACAGGAGAGAUCAAAAGAGAUCACCGGAAUUCCCAUUUUCUCAAGAAAACCAAUGUUAGUAUUUUGGUGUUUUUCCUUCCCAUCUUUUUCUUUCUGUUUUGUAACAUACUUGUGAUCAUAACGUAUAUUCAGUUUGUGUCCUGCUUUUUUUCAUUUAUCACAGAAGUACUUUCUUAAUAAAAAGAUCUAGUAUCCAUCAGAUGUAUUUAUCAUAAUUUAAUUAUCCCCUCCUCGUAGAUAUCUACACUUUGACCAGUGUUGAUUUUGUUCAUCUGCACAGACUCCCAAAAAAGCUUCUAGCUGAAAACCUGACUCAAAACAGAAACCACCUGUAAGGACUUGCUCAUGAAAAAUCUACACGGCAGUUCCCUCCAGGAAAACCAGGCGGACGAGCAGCCUGUGCCUGGAAGUAGGCGGGGCCACUCCUGGGUCUGCCUCUGCAGACACAGACCAGGGAGUGAUUUCUCUGCCCCUGUGGUAGCUGCUGCGGCGGGAAGCACACGGCAGACCCUGAGCAGGCUGGCCAGAGAGCCAGCCUCUGCCUGACGGGACCCACAGCUCAAAUGCUGGCUGGAUUUGCCUGGGCCAAAAUAAGCGGAAGAGUGGCGGAGUGCUUGGAGAUCACUUCCAAUCACACCAUUCACAAGGAGAAGCAGUGCACCUCUAGGACAGAUGCCUUCAAACGCAGAGGCUGGCUGCUCCCCGAGAAGGAGGGCCAGGCGGGGUGGUACCAAGCAGUGAUGCUAGAGAAACAUCAUUCAGCAGCCUCCUGGAACACAUGGGAGCCCGGUGGCUGAAAUGUCCUUUCCUCCCAGAGUUAGAAUACAUAAUGUUAGUUAACUCCACAAAUUAGUGCAGUGGCCGUGACAGUCGAGGCCCCCAGUCCCCAGCCCCCUAGGCUUAUACAACAGACGCUGGUUGUCCCAUCCUCUGCUCAAUCCUAUUUAAGACAAGGAUUGUGCACUCCUGGCUGGAGUCCAGGAGGGUGGGAGCCACCGGGUGGUAGUGGCACGGCCCUGUCUCCAGGCCAGACUCUCCUGCUCCUGGCCCUCUUGACGCUCACAGAGUGGCCUCUGUGGCUGCCGAGCCCCGUGCUGCAGCAUAAAUCCGCAGCUUUUGUCUGUGUUUAAUCACACCCUGAGAAGUGAUAUCCAAGUGCAACUGUUUCCAGCCAGGAGUGCAGCUCCCAGGCCCUGCUGCUGCCUACCCAAGACAAACAGACGUAACAAGGAAUUUCUAGCACAGUGCUGGGCCUCUGUGUUAAUAAAUGGCUGACCAGGAGUACUGGGUAAUGCAAGCUGGGAACUCCCCAUCACACACACACACUGGAGCCGGCUCUGACACAUGGGGCAGAGACUCGGCCUUUGGUUCCCUGAGGACUAAUUUACAUACCCUCUUAGCUGCCACCCAACUGUUUCUAGCUGAAGCUAUUUUUGAAGUAUCCUGAAGGAAAGCACACAAGCCUCUAGCCUCUCCCUGCCUGUCCUGGGUUUCCAAGGUCAGGAUAUGGAGGAAAGACCUGUUCAAGGGACAUGGCAGGGAGGGAGCUGUGACAGUUACAGAGAAGGGAGUCCCUUUUUUGGUCAAAGGCAAGUAUUGUGAAAGUUUACUGUUCUAGAAAGGCACCCACAUCAACCCAAGCCCGUAAGAAAGCGGGGCCCAGUAAACUGCAGAUAACUGAAGCACUAAAAGAAAAAGACAUCUAGUCAUUUGUAAUACAGCUUUGGUGCAUGAUAUAUAACAUUUUGUACAUUAAAAGGUUUCUGGCGAUUUCUCUUUAAAGCAGACCACAAAGUAGACAAGAGAUUGGUUAUUAUGGAACGCUUGUGUGUUAAACGCGAUUUCCAUCUCUGCGGCACCCAAUUCCAGAAACGUUAACUGGACGAUCCUCAGGGGAUGGUGGAUCAUCUGCAUCUGUUUCCAGACGUGUAUGAAGGAUCUCCUUCGUACACCUACACCCCAUGCAAUUUCCCUUGAACCAUGACUGACCAGCUGUCUGGACAACAUCCAGGGCGAGUCACAAGAGGCUUGGGAAUCCUGGAAGGCUGUUUUCAGAUUAUGGAAAUGCAAAUCAAAUCCUCCCUGAUACGACUUCACACCCACUAGGAUGGCUAUAGAAUCAAAAAGAUGGACAAUAACAAGUGCUGGUGAGGACAUGGAGCAACUGGAACCCUCACACACUGCAGGUAUACACCCAGCCUAUGUGCAAACACUUGUACAUGAAUGUUUAAGGCUGCAUUAUUCCUAACAGCCAAACUGUGGAAACAACUCAAAUGUCCAUCAACUGACGAAUGGACAGACAAAAUGGAGUGUGUCCAUACAAUGGUGGAGGGGCUCGGCAGACGAGCAGCCCCAUUUAGCCCUAAAAAGGGGUGAAGGACUGAUGCGUGCCGCAACACAGAUGUACUUUUCAUAAAAUGUCCAGAUAAAAUAAAAAUAAAUAAAUAAUACAAAGUCAAUAAAUACAUAAAAUAUCCAGAUAAAAUGUUUGACACUAUAUAAUUAAUAAGAAAUAAACUAAAAAAAAGUACACUGCAA
rnacentral:antisense_RNA from 1 species